rfam:Oryza sativa (indica cultivar-group) chromosome 1, whole genome shotgun sequence.
UUUAAGCAUAGCCAUGAGUUUAUGUGUCUAACUUUGAUCAUUCGUUUUAUUUAAUUUUUUUAUGAUUAGUAUUUUUAUUGUUAUUAGAAGAGAAAAUAUAAAUAGUAUUUUAUGCGUGACUUAUGUUUUUUAAUAUUUUCAAAAAAAAUUAAAUAAGACGAACAAUCAAAGUUGAACAUAGAAACUCAUGAUUGUGUUUAAA